rnacentral:rRNA from 1 species
CACCGGCAGCUCGAGUGGUAGCUGUUUUUAUUGGGCCUAAAGCGUUCGUAGCCGGUUUAAUAAGUCUUUGGUGAAAGCUUGUAGCUUAACUAUAAGAAUUGCUGGAGAUACUAUUAGACUUGAAGUCGGGAGAGGUUAGAGGUACUACCGGGGUAGGGGUGAAAUCCUAUAAUCCUGGGAGGACCACCUGUGGCGAAGGCGUCUAACUGGAACGAUCUUGACGGUGAGUAACGAAAGCCAGGGGCGCGAACCGGAUUAGAUACCCGCGUAGUCCCUGAGCGGGCUGGCAAGG